rnacentral:rRNA from 1 species
CAGCAGCCGCGGUAAGACAGAGGAUGCAAGCGUUAUCCAGAAUGAUUGGGUGUAAAGCGUCUGUAGGUGGCUCUUCAAGCCCGCCGUCAAAUCCUAGGGCUCAACCCUGGACAGGCAGUGGAAACUACCAAGCUGGAGUACGGUAGGGGUAGAGGGUAUUUCCGGUGGAGUGGUAAAAUGCGUUGAGAUCGGAAAGAACACCAAUGGCGAAAGCACUCUGCUGGGCCGACACUGACACUGAGAGACGAAAGCUAGGGGAGCAAAUGGGAUUAGAUACCCCAGUAGUCCCUGUCUCUUAUAC